rnacentral:lncRNA from 1 species
GGCCAGGGACAAUAGAGCCUCUUAAUCCCCCCAGGCAAUGGGAGGGGGAGCACUCUCGUCCACACCCCUCCCCCCUUGCCAAAGCUGAACUCGAAAUGGAGCAUCCACAGAAUGGAGAUCUCCUGCACAAGCCAGGGAUUCUUUUUCCUCAAAGAGCACAGCUCUGGAGUGAGCUCUGUGAAGGCAGCACAGAUGCCUGGAAGGACCCUCUACAGAAGCCUUUGCUCCUGUGUGUUUCCGCUGCAUAGCCCAACCAGACCUCCAUCGCCGGCAUCAGCCCCCAAGGGCUUUCUCCUGCUCUCCCCAACUAGCAGCAACGCCUCCAAGCUCAUGCCUUAUUAUUUAUUCCACCGAAGCAGAGGAGUUGACAACAGCAAAAUCUCUGUUCUUAUCCUACUUGGCUGUGAACUCGAACAAACAAAGAAAAAAAAACUGGGACCAGCCACUGCCCUGGGGAACAGUGGCAGGGUGGAGUGAUCUGAACAUGAGGCAUGAGAAGAACUGAGUGACUACAGUGAUUGGGCUAUAAUAGACUCUGUCACUGGCCCAGCUGUAAUCCCUGGCGCCUGCUGCUUCACUGUGUUCUGCAGGAGUUCCACUGCCCUGAAUCUCUGACUCUGUGCCCGAGGUCUUUUUCUGGAAUUGUGGAAGGUGCUCUGCUAUGUGGGAAACAAGCUGGAAGUUCCGGGAAUCACACUUCCCAGAAGCUACACCCAACCAGUGAUUGACAGGAGUUGAAGUAAAAACAUCAUGGCUUUCUUACCCCUUAAGUGGAAUAUUUUAUACUAUUUUUCAGAAUUUCCCCAAGGAGUUAAGCUGUAAUUGCCCAUCACGGCAGCCGGGUUAAUAAGGUAUCUGUAUCUGCCAGAAUUAAAUGAGACGGCAGAAUCACAUAGUAAUUUGAGCAGGAAAAGCUUAAUAUAAGGAAUUAUCAUGUAAUUAUAGAGUUGUUCUAUAAUUAUGUAAUAUUAUAUUCUAAGCUCCUCUUAUACAAUAUAGGAGAGGAUUUGCAGUAACAAGGGAUUAGAUAGCAAGAUGUAAGAGAACUCUGAAGAAUAUAGGACUAGUGGAUAUAAGGAACAGCCACUACCCCUGGGGCUGAGGUGGAGCACUCCAAGAAUUAAAGAACCUGGAAUAAGAACACCUCACCUCACUCACGGCUCACUGGAUGGUGGACAAGUCCCUGAGUUGUGAUGCUGUAGAACUUUCUGGAAAUUUGCCCUCCAUAUUUUCAAGGGAAGAUGUCAAAGAGAAGUUUCAUCUCUCAGAAAUUAUCUCAAAACCUUCUUGGGGAUUACCAGGGAAAAUUGUCACAGGAGACUCCAUGAGGGGUCAUGUCACUCCUAGGCUGUUCAAGGGAGUUCUGGGGGAAGCUGGGCACUGCUGGUCACAACAGGUUGUAAAAGCUGGGCCCUGGAGAAGCUGUCCGCACUGCAGGAGACUGGGUGCUGCUGGAGUUGCUGGAUGAGCUUAAGGCAUGUGGGGAGAGGAGAACAUUAGAACUAGGAAAUGAAACCUCUCUCUAUUCUACUGUCCCUCCAGCACCCUCUACUGUAAACACUUAGCAUUGUGCCACCUGGCACAGGAGAAGUCUUUACAGGGCCCGUCUAUAACAUAGCAAAGCAGGCAACAAAGGGUGAACUUGGAGUGGCUCACAUGUUGCUCUAUGUUGACUUCUUCCCUUUCCUUUUUCAUUCCCCUACUCCCCUUAUUGGUUUUCCUUAAAUUCUAAAUAAAAUACAGUCAUCCUCAGUAUCCAAGGGGGAUUGGUUCCAGGCUUCUCAGAGAAUACCAAAAUCUGUGGAUGCUCAAGUCUCAGUUAUAAAAUGGCGUAGUAUUUGCAUAUAAUCUACACACGUCUUCCCAUAUACUUUAAAUCAUUUCCAUGUUACUUACAAUACCUAAAAAAACGCUACAUAAAUAGUUGUCAUUGUCAAUUACUUUUUAUUUUUGUAUCGUUAUUUAUUAUUUUUUUCAAAUUUUUUUUACUGCCUGUUUGGUUGAAUCAUGGAUGUAGGGUUCAUGGAUAUUGAGGGCUGACUAAUCGCACUUGACUUUUGACUCCGUGUUGGCUUUUGGGUAAACCCAGACUACAUUUUGAAAGUAAAGCCAAUAAAAUUUUCUAAUGCAUUGUAUUUGGGAUAUGAGCAAAACAGAGGAGUCAAGGAUGCUUCCAAUGUUUUUGGCCUAAACCAUGGGGAAAAUUUCAUCUUUAUAAUAUUAAGUUUCUUAGUUUUAAUACUGAAUAUGAUGCCUCCUUCCAAUUUCCCUGUAGAGCCCUUUGCAUCUUUCAUUGAAUUUAUUCCUAAGCAUUUAAUAGUUUUGAUGCCAUUGUAAAUGAUAUAUUUUUUCUUUUUCUUUUUUUUAAAAAUAGGGUCUCACUUUGUUAUGCAGGCUGGAGUGCAGUGGCACGAUCUUGGCUCACUGCAGCCUCGAACUCCUGGGUUCAAGUGAUCCUCCUGCCUCAGUCCCCCAAGUAGCUGGGACUACAGACAUGCACCACCAGGCCUGGCUAAUUUUUUUGUAUUUUUUGUAGAGAUGGGGUUUUGCCAUGUUGCCUAGGCUAGUCUUGAACUCCUGAGCUCAAGUGAUCCACCGGCCGUGGCCUCCCAAAGUGCUGGGAUUAUAGGCGUGAGCCACCACAUCCAGCUUGUAAAUGGUAUAUUUUUAAAUGUCAGUUUCUAAAAUGUUUUGUUAGCAUAAAGAAAUACAAUUGACUUUUUAAUACCAAGCCAUCUUGCUAAUUUAAUAAUUUAGUUCUAGAUCUGAUUUAGACUUUAUAGUUGUGCAAUUGUACUAUCUGUGGAAAAUGACAAUUUUUCUCUUCCUUUAUAAUCUUUAGCUUUUUUUUCUUUUCCUUGGCUUUUUGCAAGAUAAUGGGAUGUCCAGUGUGGUGUUAUAUACAAGUGGUAAUUGUAAGUGUCCCUGUUCUGUUCUUUUUGUUUGUUGUUCUCAAGCUCAAAGAAAAACAACUUUGCUAUUUCGUCAUUGAGUAUGAUAACACUUAAACUUUACUUACUGUAGGAUUAUUGUACAUAAUCUUUAUUGUAUUAAAGAUGUUCCUAUUUUGCUAAGAAUUCAAAUUUUGCUAAGAAUGUUUUUAUCUCAGAGGUAAUGAUGAAUUUUACCAUAUACUUUUUCUGUCUCUGUUGAGAGGAUAAUUAGAUUUCUCUUCUUUGUUAAUUCUCUCCUCAAGGUCAUGCUGAAUACCAAAUUUCCAUAUAAACCCUAGGAAGUGAUGAAUUCUCUAGACUAGGAUCUUUGCAAAAUUAUCUAGGGCUUCUAUCAUUUGCCUCCCCUUUCUAUCCCUGCCCCCUCUCUCCUAGACCCUUUAAAUGCCAUAUUCUUUUGGGAGGACAAUUGGACAAUUGGCAUAUUGGAGGACAUAUUCUUUUUUUUUUUUUUUUUUUUUUUGAGUUUUUUGAGACAGAGGCUUGCUCUGUCCCCCAGGCUGGAGAGCAGUGGUGUGAUCUCGGCUCACUGCAAGCUCCGCCUCCCAGGUUCACACCAUUCUCCUGCCUCAGCCUCCCGAGUAGCUGGGACUACAGGCGCCUGCCACCAGGCCCGGCUAUUUUUAUUUUUUUAUUUUCUUAUUUUUUAGUAGAAACGGGGUCUCACCGUGUUAGGCAGGAUGGUCUCGAUCUCCUGACCUCGUGAUCCGCCUGCUUCAGCCUCCCAAAGUGCUGGGAUUACAGGCGUGAGCCACCGCACCCGGCCUUGGAGGACAUAUUCUUUUGGGAGGACAGGAUGAUGCUUUCUUCCUAACCUCAGUGUUUAUAGCAUUAGCUUUAGGUUUGAGGUCCUUUAGGCUCUUAGCCUUUGAGGAUUCAAAACUAUUUUCCUUUCACAAAAGCUCUUGUUUAUAAACAAAGUUUUAACUUUCAAAAUUAUUUUACCCUUUUACAGUUUUAUAAGCCAAUUUUUGGAGUAAAAAGUGAAGCAUUUGACUUUUCAUUUUCAGAAUUUGUUCCUUUAUUGGGCAGCAAACCUCAGCCUCAAUAUGCAUAUUUCUUUGUAUUUCUUUUCUAUUUUGGGGGACAGUGUCUCAUUCUGUCACCCAGGCUGGAGUGCAGUGACACGAUCAUGGCUCACUGAAACCUCAACUUCCCUGGCUCUAGUAAUCCUCCCACCUCGGCCUCUCGAGUAGCUGGGACCACAGGCACCUGCCAUCAUGUCCGGCUAAUUUUUGUAUUUUUGGUAGAGACAGGGUUUUGCCAUGUUGCCCAGGCUGGUCUCGAACUCCUGAGCUCAAGCGAUCCACCCUCCUUGGCUUCUCAAAAGUCUUAGGAUUAUAGGUGUGAGCCACUGUGCCUGGCUAAUGUGUAUAUCUCUAAUGUCAUUAUGGAAAACAAAAAAUGAAUCAGUGAGCAAAACAUAGUAAAUGUUUUCAAAAUAUUAUAUUACUAUUUGUUCACUUUCAUGGGAAUAAGUUGUGGCUCAGGUAGGAAUGUGCAGCAAUUGUCCAAGUGACAAAUGAUAGUGGCUUGGUCUAGAGAUGGCAGUGGAGAGGAGAGAAAUGGUUAUGUUCAAGGGAUCUUUAGGAAGCUGAAUCCAUUUAAUCUGGUCUCUGAUUACAUUUGUAGAGCACUGAGUAUGAGGAAGGAAUCAAGAAUGGUGCUUGAUAGUCUGGAUGGUUUGGGCGUCUGGUUUCCU